UUUCCGUAGGUGAACCUGCGGAAGGAUCAUUAACGAGUUAGGGUCUUUUAGGCCCGUCCUCCCAACCUUUUGCUUUUUCAACCUCUGUUGCCUUCGCGGACCCUUCCCACGGCCGCCGGCAGACCCCUGCGAGGAGCCCUACGGCACGUCUCCGUCGACGACCCACCCACUAAACACUGAAUGAAACGGAUCAUUUGUCUAAGUCAACGAUUAAAUUAACGCAAAACUUUCAACAACGGCGCUCUUGGUUCUGUCAUCGAGGACGAACGCAGAAGCCCG
rnacentral:misc_RNA from 1 species